CAGCUAGUUGGUGAGGUAAUGGCUCACCAAGGCUACGAUCCGUAGCUGGUCUGAGAGGAUGAUCAGCCACACUGGGACUGAGACACGGCCCAGACUCCUACGGGAGGCAGCAGUAGGGAAUAUUGGACAAUGGGCGAAAGCCUGAUCCAGCCAUGCCGCGUGAGUGAAGAAGGCCUUAGGGUUGUAAAGCUCUUUUGGCGGGGAAGAUAAUGACGGUACCCGCAGAAUAAGCUCCGGCUAACUUCAUGCCAGCAGCCGCGGUAAUACGAAGGGGGCUAGCGUUGUUCGGAAUCACUGGGCGUAAAGCGCACGCAGGCGGACUGAUAAGUCGGGGGUUAACUC
rnacentral:rRNA from 1 species